rnacentral:lncRNA from 1 species
GGCUUUAUAGGUCAUGAUGAUCACUUUGUAUUUAGCCCAGAAGCAGACUGGCAGCUAGUGAAGCUGCCACAGCAUGGGACUAAUUCUCACCCUGUAUGGCAUUCCAGUUAAUAAUCAGGCAGUGAAUCUCUGGGCCAGUUGAAGCUUCCAAACUAUCUUCAAAGGCAGCCCCAUGUAGAGAUCAUUGCAGUAGUCCAAAUGGGAUUUAACUAAGGGGUAACUAUUUAAUGUCCCACAUUUAUACACAUAAAUGUAGAUUUAGAGAGCCCUUACACAUCAGGAAGUGGAGCGGCAGUACUUCAUUGCAGAGGCAGUAUGAACCCUCAGAGCCUACACAUCAAAAUGAAAGGAACUUCUAGCUCUCUUCUAGAAGGGAGAAGAAUGUUCUAGAAGCAGAAAGUAAUCUCUGCCCACCCCCACCCCAUUAUUUGGGACUGCAGCUAUCAUAAUCCUAUAGCAUUGGCGAAAGCUUCUGGUAGCUGAAAUCAAAGGACAACUAGAUAUAUUCCAGUAAAACUGAUUUCCUGUUCAAAAUAAUUGAGGAUGAGGCAAUAAUAGAAUUUGAUUUCUCUGAACUAACAGCUAGAACAUGGCUUCUAAUCUGAUGAUAAUUGCUAUCCUAGGCUGCAGGUAGCAUGCAUUUUGUGUGUGCUGCUGAAUCAAAGAAGGAGGGCUGCUCAUUGAAUUUUAAUGUGGAAAUUAAUUCUGAAAAAGAAAGCAAAGGCAGUGAGAACCGAUAGGCGGGUGGCCAGAUUCUAUUCUCACAUUUGUCACUAAUGUGACAGUCUGCAGUUCUGUUUGUUUCAUGGGGCCAAUCCAAACUCACCACGGUGUAACAGAGGUAAGGCUCUGACCUGCUUCUCUUCAAAACUCCAAAGCCGUAAGAAGUUGUAUAAUGAAACUCUAUCCACUUGUGCUGUGACUGCUGAGUGUUUCAAGAGCUCCUACAGCUCCCACAGGCCUCUAAUUGUCAAGCAGGGCUCACAGGGAAACCACAUCUGCGCCUACAGCUACCUCUCCAUGCUCCACCGCCUCUUCUCACUCCACAUGUAUCCAGAAGAAACCAAAAGCAGUUGUUUUUGUCAGCCACAUGAUCUGUUGUAGCUGGGAAAAAAUAGUGACAGAGCCUGUGCCAUUACAGCUGGCCAAAACAGCCAGACCCUGUUUU